UGAAAUUCGGAAUGGAGAUAGAUAAUAUCCUGGAUUAGCACAAAGGCUACUUUUUAUCCCGGUAAAUCAAAGAGUUCCCACGGGAUUUCGAAAAACCUAAAUCCACGCAGGCAAAGUCUCGGGUAUCGGCUAGUAUGUUAUUUCUUGUAUGAUGGUAUACUGAACCUUUCGUGUGCAUGUCCGACUGGUACUU